CCUGAAACCGUGUACGUACAAGCAGUGGGAGCACCCUUCGGGGUGUGACUGCGUACCUUUUGUAUAAUGGGUCAGCGACUUAUAUUCUGUAGCAAGGUUAACCGUAUAGGGGAGCCGGAGGGAAACCGAGUCUUAACCGGGCGUUAAGUUGCAGGGUAUAGACCCGAAACCCGGUGAUCUAGCCAUGGGCAGGUUGAAGGUUGGGUAACACUAACUGGAGGACCGAACCGACUAAUGUUGAAAAAUUAGCGGAUGACCUGUGGCUGGGGGUGAAAGGCCAAUCAAACCGGGAGAUAGCUGGUUCUCCCCGAAAGCUAUUUAGGUAGCGCCUCGUGAAUUCAUCUCCGGGGGUAGAGCACUGUUUCGGCUAGGGGGCCAUCCCGGCUUACCAACCCGAUGCAAACUGCGAAUACCGGAGAAUGUUAUCACGGGAGACACACGGCGGGUGCUAACGUCCGUCGUGAAGAGGGAAACAACCCAGACCGCCAGCUAAGGUCCCAAAGUCAUGGUUAAGUGGGAAACGAUGUGGGAAGGCCCAGACAGCCAGGAUGUUGGCUUAGAAGCAGCCAUCAUUUAAAGAAAGCGUAAUAGCUCACUGGUCGAGUCGGCCUGCGCGGAAGAUGUAACGGGGCUAAACCAUGCACCGAAGCUGCGGCAGCGAACGUAUCACCCAAGACAACUUUACGGAGUUGACGAUUGACGGAGCGAAGCGACGUCAAAGCGUUCAUUAAAGUCGAGUUGGCUUAGGGAUACGUUCGUUGGGUAGGGGAGCGUUCUGUAAGCCUGUGAAGGUGUGUCGUGAGGCAUGCUGGAGGUAUCAGAAGUGCGAAUGCUGACAUAAGUAACGAUAAAGCGGGUGAAAAGCCCGCUCGCCGGAAGACCAAGGGUUCCUGUCCAACGUUAAUCGGGGCAGGGUGAGUCGACCCCUAAGGCGAGGCCGAAAGGCGUAGUCGAUGGGAAACGGGUUAAUAUUCCCGUACUUGGUGUUACUGCGAAGGGGGGACGGAGAAGGCUAUGUUGGCCGGGCGACGGUUGUCCCGGUUUAAGCGUGUAGGUGUGUGUUCCAGGUAAAUCCGGUUCACUUUAACACUGAGGCGUGACGACGAGGCACUACGGUGCUGAAGCAACAAAUGCCCUGCUUCCAGGAAAAGCCUCUAAGCAUCAGGUAACAUCAAAUCGUACCCCAAACCGACACAGGUGGUCAGGUAGAGAAUACCAAGGCGCUUGAGAGAACUCGGGUGAAGGAACUAGGCAAAAUGGUGCCGUAACUUCGGGAGAAGGCACGCUGACACGUAGGUGAAGUGAUUUACUCAUGGAGCUGAAGUCAGUCGAAGAUACCAGCUGGCUGCAACUGUUUAUUAAAAACACAGCACUGUGCAAACACGAAAGUGGACGUAUACGGUGUGACGCCUGCCCGGUGCCGGAAGGUUAAUUGAUGGGGUCAGCGCAAGCGAAGCUCCUGAUCGAAGCCCCGGUAAACGGCGGCCGUAACUAUAACGGUCCUAAGGUAGCGAAAUUCCUUGUCGGGUAAGUUCCGACCUGCACGAAUGGCGUAAUGAUGGCCAGGCUGUCUCCACCCGAGACUCAGUGAAAUUGAACUCGCUGUGAAGAUGCAGUGUACCCGCGGCAAGACGGAAAGACCCCGUGAACCUUUACUAUAGCUUGACACUGAACAUUGAGCCUUGAUGUGUAGGAUAGGUGGGAGGCUUUGAAGUGUGGACGCCAGUCUGCAUGGAGCCGACCUUGAAAUACCACCCUUUAAUGUUUGAUGUUCUAACGUGGACCCGUAAUCCGGGUUGCGGACAGUGUCUGGUGGGUAGUUUGACUGGGGCGGUCUCCUCCUAAAGAGUAACGGAGGAGCACGAAGGUUGGCUAAUCCUGGUCGGACAUCAGGAGGUUAGUGCAAUGGCAUAAGCCAGCUUGACUGCGAGCGUGACGGCGCGAGCAGGUGCGAAAGCAGGUCAUAGUGAUCCGGUGGUUCUGAAUGGAAGGGCCAUCGCUCAACGGAUAAAAGGUACUCCGGGGAUAACAGGCUGAUACCGCCCAAGAGUUCAUAUCGACGGCGGUGUUUGGCACCUCGAUGUCGGCUCAUCACAUCCUGGGGCUGAAGUAGGUCCCAAGGGUAUGGCUGUUCGCCAUUUAAAGUGGUACGCGAGCUGGGUUUAGAACGUCGUGAGACAGUUCGGUCCCUAUCUGCCGUGGGCGCUGGAGAACUGAGGGGGGCUGCUCCUAGUACGAGAGGACCGGAGUGGACGCAUCACUGGUGUUCGGGUUGUCAUGCCAAUGGCACUGCCCGGUAGCUAAAUGCGGAAGAGAUAAGUGCUGAAAGCAUCUAAGCACGAAACUUGCCCCGAGAUGAGUUCUCCCUGAGACUUAGAGUCUCCUGAAGGAACGUUGAAGACGACGACGUUGAUAGGCCGGGUGUGUAAGCGCAGCGAUGCGUUGAGCUAACCGGUACUAAUGAACCGUGAGGCUUAACCUUACA
rnacentral:rRNA from 1 species